rnacentral:misc_RNA from 1 species
CGAAAUGCGAUAAGUAAUGUGAAUUGCAGAAUUCAGUGAAUCAUCGAAUCUUUGAACGCACAUUGCGCCCGCCAGUAUUCUGGCGGGCAUGCCUGUUCGAGCGUCAUUUCAACCAUCAAGCCCCGGGCUUGUGUUGGGGACCUGCGGCUGCCGCAGGCCCUGAAAACCAGUGGCGGGCUCGCUGUCACACCGAGCGUAGUAGAUUCUCAUCUCGCUCAGGGCGUGCUGCGGGUUCCGGCCGUAAAACAGCCUUAUUUUACCCAAGGUUGACCUCGGAUCAGGUAGGAAUACCCGCUGAACUUAAGC